CCUGAAGAAGUCUCAAUUUUCGAACAAACUGUAAUAUAUUCUCCAUGGGAAAAGGCUACAAACCCUGCAGAUGGCUCCAACAUAGAUCCCUACACAGCCAGUAAGAAAAAGGGGGUCAUAAGGAAUAGUGCUUAAGACAAGAGUUCUCAUGCUCGUUUCACCAGCCACUGGGGAAGAAAGUGAAAAGACAUGAGUUGCUAAGGACAACAUCCCACUGCAGUGAAGGCCAGUUCAGACAUGGCCCAACUCAUGAACUCAAAUCAGCAUAGUUGAACUGACUAGGUGAUAAGAAGCUAUCAACACAUGCUGUUCUACAGGAAAAGCAACCAGCUGGGUAUCCGAGAUGUUAAGAUCCAAUGGGACCUAGUGCUGAGUAGCCGUGCAGGAGCUUUAAAGCC
rnacentral:lncRNA from 1 species